ensembl:lncRNA
AACAGCUCUCCCCAUCCCCGACUUGCUGAGCAGCCCUGGGCAGUCUACUCUACAGCUCUCGACCUCCCUGAGGUCCAUCUAGGGAGGACACAGGGACAAUAAUUCAAACAAAUGCUUUCACGUCGGUCUGAGCUAACAGAGGGGGUGACUGGGGUGGGGGCCCCCUGGGGAGAGAAGGAGGGAAUGGAGAAGCCUUCCCAGUGUCCAGAGUCACCACUUAUUUCAGAGACGCUGGCUUCUGUGGGCCACCCAGAUCUUCCUUCUCCUCUUCAGUGAAUGACAGGCGGGGACCAAAGUCCCAUCGAGCCAGAAGGGUCAUUUGAUAGUCCCAUUCUCUAUUACUGGUGCCUUUACAGGUGAAAAACUAGCCCAGCUCCCACUUACCCAAGAACACAUCACAGGCCUUCCAAUGUCUCUAAGCACUGCCGGGGCCCCAGGGCCUGAUCGAGAGGGCAGGCCCUGCGGAUGGCCGUCCACCACAGGGGAACCUUAGGGACUGUCUAUGGAAACUGAAAAGAGCCACUGGCACCUGUCUUUGUCCAGCGAAGAAGGGAGAUGAGCGGCCCCACCCAGCCCUUAGAGCUGCUUUCCUUCCCUUCCCCCACAGCCCGUGCCCUGACCCGGGGUGAGGGCUGCCCUGGGGCCUGGGCGCCGGCCUGCUCUUUGCCUGUGUGUGCCUGCGAGUGGGAGACGGAGAGAACACUUGGGAGCGAGUCUUUCCUUCCUGAACUUCUAUUUCCUCAACUAUUAACAAGGAAAUUGCAUUAGGUGAUCUGUGGGUCAGGGCUUCCUCCUCUCCAGGAGGAGGAUGUUCUAGUCUUUUCUCGCUGCACGCAGUCCUGAGCUCCACUGCAGAGAGAAACCGAGAGCAGAACGUUCAUUCCUAAGAGUGAGGUGUCCAGUGCCCAGCUCUCCCUGGCUUUCCUGCUUGGAAAAGGCAGAGGAGAAUGGCUUACAAACGCCAAAACCUGGCCGGCGAUCAUGCUGUGGUUUGCAGAGAAUUAGAAGGCAUUGUGGAUCUCGCAAGGUGUUUGUAGCCAGAGCAGAAAUGCCUUGGCAGGAGAAGCCAGGCGCACCAGCCCAGCCUCGUGGGUGGGCCUCUCUGUUGGCCACCGGACAGGGGCUGCCAGGACGUUUCUUGCCCCCAGCUGCCCUAAAGUCAUGAGAGAAAAUGGGUCAGACUGCAGAGGCUUAUCCUUCUGGGACUCAGCUUUACUGCCCUGUGGCUCCAAGAGAAAUGAAGAAUAUUAAUCAGAAAUUAAAAAAAAAAAAUCAGCUCCAUCAAAGGCCCCAAACUAGGCAAAAGGUUGAAGAAUCUGCUCUCUGCUUGUAUCUCUCUGUCUAGAGGGUAUCCUCCCAGCAACAGCUUGUAGGGAUGCUGUUAUGGGCCCUUCUCCCAAAUCCAUAUAUCCUAACCCCUAAUACUUCAGAUGUGACUAUGUUUGGAGAUAUGGUCUUUACAGAGGCAAUUACAUUAAAAUGGAGUAACUAGGGUGAGCUCGAAUCCAGCAGAACUGUAGUCUUUAUCAGAAGGGAACAUUUGCCUGCGGACGCACAUGGAGGAGAGACACCAGGAGAAGAUGGGCGUCCCCAGCCAGGGAGAGCGGGCCGGGGUGGAUUCUUCCUUUGCACCCUCAAAAGGAGCCCACCCUGCCAACGCUGUGAUUGUGGACCUCUAAGCUCUGCUGUUUAAGCCACCCAGUUUGUGGCACUUUGUUAGAGCAACUCUAGCAAAUUUCUCCAGAUGCUGCUCUGUUGGGAGGUCUGCACAACCUUGAGACUGCCUGGACUCAGAAGAAUGAGUCCGCAUGAGGGGAAGGGUUCUGCCCUUGCAGUGCAGCCUUAUUUUAACAUGAAACAAAACUGAUCUAUUACUCUCUUCCCUCAGAGCCUAGUCUUUUAAAUUUUUUAUUUCUUUUGGUAUUGGUUUAACACGUUUUAUUGUUUUAAUCCCUUUAGUCUUUUUAUUUUGUGAGUUUAAUGAGUUUACUUAUCUCAGUCAUUUUUUAAUCCCGUUUUUUCUUUCUUCUAGCUAUUUUAUACUAUGUCUUUUAUCUCAUCUUCUAGAUCUUUUGGUAUUAUAUUUUUAUUUUCCGUCUGUUAUUUCUAACCCUUUGCCUUAUCGUGCCUUUGUUCCAUCUUUUAAUUUCUUUUUAGCUUAUUUUUUUUAUUUUUAGUUCAUAUUGUCGCUUGCCUGCUGCCUUUUUUUUUAACUACUUUUUAUUUCUUC